UACGUAGGGCGCAAGCGUUGUCCGGAAUUAUUGGGCGUAAAGAGCUCGUAGGCGGCCUGUUGCGUCCGCUGUGAAAGCCCGGGGCUUAACCCCGGGUCGGCAGUGGAUACGGGCAGGCUAGAGGUAGGUAGGGGAGAAUGGAAUUCCCGGUGUAGCGGUGAAAUGCGCAGAUAUCGGGAGGAACACCGGUGGCGAAGGCGGGUCUCUGGGCCGAUACUGACGCUGAGGAGCGAAAGCAUGGGUAGCGAACAGG
rnacentral:rRNA from 1 species